GAGGGCGCUGCAGGCGUGGGAGAAAUGUGGGCAGCCGUGAAGGUGGAUUUGUAACACUAUUGGCUUUUCCAAUCCCCCAGUCCCUUGAGGGGGAAGGGGCAGGUUCUUUUUUUUUUUUUAACUUUUAUUUUUAGUUCAUUUUAUUUUUUUUUAAACUCUUACCUCUGAUGGAACAGUAGAUUUUUAAAAAAAUACUUUAACAUAUAAGUAUCUUUUUUUUUUUUUUUUUUUUUUUUUUUUUAAGAGUUGGGGUCUCAUUCCCUCACUCAGGCUAGAGUGCAAUGGCACCAUCACGGCUCACUGCAACCUCCACAUCCUGGACUCAAGCGAUCCUUCCACUUCAACCUCUCUGGUAUCCGGGACUACAGAUGCAUGCCACCACUUCCAGCUAACUUUUAAAAUUUUUUUUGUAGAGGCAGGGUCUUGCUAUGUUGCCCAGCCUGAUGUUGGAUUCAUGGCCUCAAGCCAUCCUUUUGCCUGAGCCUCCCAAAGCCCUGGGAUUACAGCCGUGAGCCAUGGUGCCUUGCCUAUAUAAGUAACUUUUAAUUUAAUACACUUUCUUCCAAGCAUUCAUUUCUAACAACCAUGUAAAGUUCCCAUAACUGAAUGCAAUGUAAACAAUCAUCUUUCCCCUUUUGUUGAAGUGUCUUCCCACAUUCUUCGGUUUUUCACUAUUAUAAGAAACACUGCAAUGAAUAAAUAAAUACUUUCAGACAUUGAGCUUAUGUUUUUCAUUUAAGAUUAGUUCCUUAGAAUAGAAGCAAAAUCAUCUCCAUGAUUGGCUUGACACACAUUACCAAAUUUUUGCUAGCUGUCCAUGGUUUUAAAAUUAAUGCUAAAGUUAAUUUUGGUUGGACUCAGCUUUAAUUUUGUUCCAAAUUUCUAUUCAGUUAUAAUAUGUCCUUUAUUACAUAAUUCUUUCUUAUCUCUUUGUUUUGAAAUAGUUUUUUUUUUUUUUUUUUUUUUUUUUGAGAUGGAGUCUCACUGUGUUGCCCAGGCUGGAGUGCAGUGGCACCAUCUCGGCUCACUGCAACCUCCACCCCUCCAAGUUUAAGCAAUUCUCUGCCACAGCCUCUGGAGUAGCUGGGAUUACAGACGCAUGCCACCACGCCCAGCUAAUUUUUUGUAUUUUUAGUAGAGACGGGGUUUCACCAUCUUGGCCAGGCUGGUCUUGAACUCCUGAUCUCGUGAUCCACCUGCCUCGGCCUCCCAAAGUGCUGGGAUUACAGGCGUGAGCCACCGCGCCCGGCCUGAAAUAGUUUUUGAUGAAUACACAUCCACAUAUAUAUUUUUUAAAAUCUCAAUAUCUCUAUCUAGUUGGGUUUCUGUCCUCCAUUCGGAUUCACUGAUUCAUAUUUCUAAUUUCUAAUUUUAGAUCGGUGCCUCACUAUUUUAUUAUUAUUUUAUAAUAUGCUAGAUUAUCUGAUUAGGCUAGCCUGCACUGUUCCAUUUGGUAGCCACAUAUGGCUAUUAAAAUUAAAUAAAAUUGAAAAUCUACUUCCUCAGUCACACUAGCCACAUUUCAAGUCUGCAAUAUCUAUGUGCUAAUAGUUACUGUAUUGGACCGUACGUGUGAAACAAUUACAUCACUCCAGAGAGUUCUAAUGGACAAUGCUGGGCUAGUCACCUCUGCUCCUCCUUGCUUCUGUUAAUCUCUUUUUCAAAGAUCUUUGAAAUUUUUGCCUAACUAGCAAAUAAAUUUUAGAAUAAAACCUUAUUAACUUAAUUACUAUUCUAACUCUAAAUGUUUACAUUACCUUGAGAAAGGAUACCUUUGCAGUAGUUAAUCUUUCCAUCCAGGACCUGACGUCUCUCUUCAUUUAGCUAAAUUUUCCUUAUGGCUUCUAAUAAGAUAAUUACAUUUUCUACAGAAAGAUUGUGUACAUCUCUCAAAAUUUAUUCCUAAGUAUUUAAAGUGUAAAGUACUAUUAAUGGACUCUCUUUGUUCAUUUUGAAUUCCAACUGACUUCGUUCUUUUUUUUUUUCUUUUUUUUUGAGAGAGGGUCUCACCAUGUUGCCCAGACUGGUCUCAAACUCCUGGGCUCAAGCAAUCCUCCUGCCUCGGCCUCCCAAAGUGUUGUGAUUCUAAGUGUGAGCCACUGCACCUGGCCUCCCUCAAGUGACUUUGUUCUGUAUAAUGCAGAAAAUUUUCUUCUCCCAGAUUUUGAAAUCUUUAGUAUACCAGGCAACUCUUGUACAUCCUUCCUUCAGAUUCUCUAGUUAUUAGCGUUUUGUUACAUUUGCUUUGUCAUUUUCUCUCUGUCUCUCUCUCUAUAUGCAUAUGUAUGUACAUACAUCUCUAUGCCUAUAUAUAACUCAGGACCAUACGAAAGUAAUUCUUUUUAAAAUAUCAUUCAUGGGAAAUCAUUCCAUGUCUUUAUGAAGCAACUGGGAAGGAGGUAGCCCACUAUCAGAUAAUCACGGUGUAAGUCUGUCAUUGCACCUCCAUCCCUAGAGGCCCUUUUGUUCCACAGAGCUGUCUGUGAAGAGAGGCCAUUUGCCUUGUCUUGUGAGCAGAUCGUGGAUGUGGUUUUGCUUAUGUGAGAGACGGAGACAAGCCAAGUGAUUCUGAGCCCCUGGAAUCAUAGUCAAAGGUUGGUCAUUAUCAAGAGGUUGGUCCCUUUUCUCCUCCCAUUGCCCUCUCUUUCAGGACCACCAGGACUGUGGAGUCUGCUAGAAGGGUGGUCAAGAAGAGACCACUGCCCAAGAAUCCUCUCAUCUUGACCUGCCCCCAAGUAAAGGAGGAAUCGUUAAAUGGUGAUCCAUCCAAUUUGGAGGAAAUAACUUCAUUAAAAAAAUUAAUUCACCUAUUAGAAUGGCUAAAAUCCUCAAACAGUGACAACACCAAAUGCUGGCGAGGAUGUGGAGCAACAGUAACACUCAUUGCUGGUGGGAAUGCAAAACGGUACAGCCACUUGGAAGACAGUUUCGCGUUUCUUACAAAACUAAACUUAUGAUUGCCAUGUAAUCCAGCAAUAGCUCCCUUUGAUAUUUAACAAAAGGAGUUGAAAACUUACGUCCACACAAAAACUUACACAUGAGUGUUAUAGCAGCUUAUUCAUAAUUACCCACACUUGGAAGCAAUCAAAAUGCCCUUUAGUGGGUGAAUAAAUAAACGUGGCACAUCCCACAUCCGGGCAAUGGAAUAUUAUUCAGUGCUAAAUACAAAUGAGCUAUCAAGCCAUGAAAAGACAUGGAGGAAACUUAAAUGCUUAUUACUAAGUGGAAGAAGGCAGUAUGAAAUGGCUAUAUACUGUAUGAUUCCAAUUACAUUUUGGAAAAAGAAAAACUCUGCCAAUAGAAAAAAGAUUAGUGGUUGUGAGGACUUAAGAGGGAGGGAGGGAUGAAUAGGCCGAGCCCAGAGGAUUUUUAGGGCAGUGGAACUGUCUUGUAUGAUACUAUAAUGGUAGGUACAUGUCAACAUGCUUGUUAAAACCCAUGAGUGUACAUCAAGAAUGAGCAUUAAUGUAACGUAAACUUUACAUGGGUAGUAAUGAUGUGUCAGUGUAGGCUCAUCAACUGUAACCAAUGUACCACUGUGGUUUGGAAAUGUCAAUAGUGGGGGAGGCUGUGCAUGUGGGGAGUUGGGGGCAGAGGGUAUAUGGGAAAUUUCUGUACUUCUGCUCAAUUUUUCUGUGGAUGUAAAGCUGCUCUAAAAAAAUAUAAAGUCUAUUAAAAAAGGAA